CAAAAUUCAAAUUAUAACUGUUUCCUAACGUUUUUUCCUGACAGCAUUUCAGUUCUUAUAGUGUAUUUCUUCGAGGUUGCGAGUCUUGUUCUCGUCAGCCAUUUCUACGAAACCACACGAUGGAGAAACUCGUCUAAAACCAGGAUCCACACGAGGCUGUUGUGCAGGUCGGGGUCAACGGACUCCAUGUCGUCCAGGGUGAUGGGUUUACCCAGCAGCUGUUUGUAGAAGGGCAGAGUGAAGCCUCCGUCUAUGUAGUGGCCGUGGAACACAGCCAUCCCCAUGAUACGGCCCACGAAGUGAAAGUAUGACAAGUGCUCCUGAGAGGGAGACAAAACAUGAGAGACAGCGAUCUCCUCGCGGGACACCUCGAUGCGGCAGUGUCCGGCCUGAGGCUGCUGCUGGGACAGCUCCUGGCGGAGGAUCUUGAGCUUCUGAACAAGGUCCCUCUUGUACUUGGGCACCGUGAGGCACUCGGCCUCCUCUGGGAGCUGACUGGGGGACACCA